ACGCGCCGGCCAACUCAUGACUCAGUGAGCGCCACAGUCCACAUGAGCGAGGGUGCCACCUCGCCGGCGCUGGAGCCGGGGCCACCGCCUCUACCGGACAACGACGACCUCCACCGGGAGAUCUUCCUCCGGCUCCCGCCGCUCCCCUCCUCCCUCCCGCGCGCCUCCCUCGUCUGCAAGCGCUGGCGCCGCCUCCUCUCCGACCCGGCCUUCCUCCGCCGCUUCCGCGCCCACCACCGGGCGCCUCCCCUCCUCGGCUUCUUCGCCGACGAGGACGGCGACAUCGAGUUCGUGCCCACGCUGCGCCGGCCCGACCGCAUCCCGCGGGAGCGCUUCUCCCUGCCGCGCCGCGACGGCGGCGACUUCCUGAGCUUCCUCGGAUGCCGCCACGGCCUCGCCCUCCUCAUCGACCGCGCGCGCCUCGAGGCCGUCGUGUGGAACCCCGUCACCGGCAGCCGGCGCCGCGUGCCUUUCCCGCCGGGGUUCGACCAAGGACGCAACGUCUACAGAGGCGCCGUCUUGAGCUCCUCCGGCGACGGCCACGUGCACGGUGAUUGCCGCUUGAUCCCCUUCAAAUUGGUACUGGUGCAUCAUGCUGAUCUCCGUGGCGCAAUUGUGUCCGCCUGCCUGUAUGAAUCGGAGUCUGGUACAUGGGGCAAUGUCAGCUCAAUGGCUAUUCCACAUUUCUCUCGUUUGCAUCAGCCCGGUGUCCUAGUUGGGAAUCAAGUUUACUGGAUGCUGCUGGGGACUAGCGAUAUCCUUGAGUUUGAUUUGAGUGCCCAGAGACUAUCUGUAAUUCAGAAGCCACAGGACGCCCAUGUUAAAAGCAAAUCAGGCCUUCAGGCCUUGAGGACAGAAGAUAACAAGCUUGGCCUUGCAACUAUUUCAGAACUGGGCAUCCAAUUGUGGGGGAGGGAGACCAAUUUAGAUGGUGUUGGUAGAUGGGUGCCAUUGAAAACUGUUGAACUAGACAAGCUCCGUUCAAUAAGUCCGUCAAUGAGGAUACAGCCAUCAACGAUUUUGGGGUUUGAUGAGGAUAACAAUGCUUUUUUUAUUUGCACGAAUAUUGGCCUCUACAUGAUCCAGCUUGAGUCAUUGCAGUUCACAAGACUUUUUGAUGGUGAUAUGUUUACCGCCUACUAUCCCUACACAAGUUUCUACACUGCAGGCCGAGAAAACCCCCGAACUCCUGCCCCACUCUUACACAGGGGCGCCGUAACCCAUACCGUAACCCAUGUGAGAGCGGGCCGGGGUGAGCCGGGACUUAUUUCCAUAUGCUUUGGCGUGAAGGCAGGCGAGAGGAUUUUUUUAACCUCAGCUUGAAAUUCGCUCCCACCAGGAGUCGAAUCUAGAACCUGAGGAGUGCAACUGAGGCCACCUAACCAAUCCGGCUAGGCACCCGUUCACUUGACUUUUGCUUGGGCAUUGGUGGUGGAGAUGAUAGAGCUGAAAUCCUGAACAAUGCAUGAGACGAUUAUCCAAUAUAUUUGAGGUGUUUGAUUAACAGGUUUCCUUGGUGUUCAUCGGUUUGUUGGACUUGUUUUUCUUCUAAUCUUGGAAUUGGUGGUGGAAAUGAUAGAGCUGAAAUGUUGAUCAACACAUGAGAUGAUUGCCCCAUUUUGAAGUGUCAUGCUGGUUGAACAAUGGAUGCGGGGGGAGGCUCAUGAGGGGCAAACGGUCUGUUCGGACCUGGCCAAAGACUGGAAAAUAAUGACGACUACCUGAAUUUUCUGUCACCAAUUCCGGUAUCAACUGUAGAAGACCAAAUUUAAAGGGACUAAAAAAGUUUCAGUUGUUACCAAAUCCCACCACACACUCUUGGGCCAAGAAUAUCUCUGGGACUUCAAUGUUCCUUUUUACUAGUGCGUGUUAAUCAUGAUCGUAAAGUCAUUAGUCCUCAUAACAAAAUUAUGGAUCUAUAUGCUUUCAAGCUGCAGAAUCAUGAACGUAUUGUUCUGGA